UACGUAGGGGGCGAGCGUUGUCCGGAUUUAUUGGGCGUAAAGAGCUCGUAGGCGGUUCGAUAAGUCGGGUGUGAAAACUCUGGGCUCAACUCAGAGACGCCACCCGAUACUGUUGUGACUUGAGUCCGGUAGGGGAGUAUGGAAUUCCCGGUGUAGCGGUGAAAUGCGCAGAUAUCGGGAGGAACACCAGUGGCGAAGGCGGUACUCUGGGCCGGAACUGACGCUGAGGAGCGAAAGCGUGGGGAGCGAACAGG
rnacentral:rRNA from 1 species